UACGGAGGGAGCUAGCGUUAUUCGGAAUUACUGGGCGUAAAGCGCACGUAGGCGGCUUUGUAAGUUAGAGGUGAAAGCCUGGAGCUCAACUCCAGAAUUGCCUUUAAGACUGCAUCGCUUGAAUCCAGGAGAGGUGAGUGGAAUUCCGAGUGUAGAGGUGAAAUUCGUAGAUAUUCGGAAGAACACCAGUGGCGAAGGCGGCUCACUGGACUGGUAUUGACGCUGAGGUGCGAAAGCGUGGGGAGCGAACAGG
rnacentral:rRNA from 1 species